rnacentral:rRNA from 1 species
UACGUAGGGGGCAAGCGUUGUCCGGAUUUAUUGGGCGUAAAGAGCGUGUAGGCGGCUUUACAGGUCCGUUGUGAAAACUCGAGGCUCAACCUCGAGACGCCGGUGGAAACCGUAAAGCUAGAGUCCGGAAGAGGAGAGUGGAAUUCCUGGUGUAGCGGUGAAAUGCGCAGAUAUCAGGAAGAACACCAGUGGCGAAAGCGACUUUCUGGUCCUUAACUGACGCUGAGGCGCGAAAGCAUGGGGAGCGAACGGG